rnacentral:rRNA from 1 species
UACGGAGGGUGCUAGCGUUGUUCGGAAUGACUGGGCGUAAAGGGCGCGUAGGCGGCUCGUGAAGUCGGGUGUGAAAGCCCGGGGCUCAACCCCGGAACGGCAUCCGAUACUGGCGGGCUUGAGUCCGGGAGAGGAGGGUGGAAUACCCAGUGUAGAGGUGAAAUUCGUAGAUAUUGGGGGGAACACCGGUGGCGAAAGCGGCUCUCUGGCCCGGAUCUGACGCUGAGGCGCGAAAGCGUGGGGAGCAAACAGG